ensembl:ncRNA T04C12.28 ncRNA
UCUAUAUCUCCAAAGAAGGAAUGGCAUUUUCCACAUUCCUAGCGAUCUCUAUAUUAAUUUUGACGAGAUUAACGCCGUUCACCGAUACCUUCUCGCCACUUUCUGUUUGACCCGCCCGUAGUUAUCCGAAAACGGAGAUGAGAUA